rnacentral:rRNA from 1 species
UACGUAGGGUGCGAACGUUGUCCGGAAUUAUUGGGCGUAAAGAGCUCGUAGGCGGUCUGUCGCGUCGGAUGUGAAAACCCAGGGCUCAACCCCGAGCCUGCAUACGAUACGGCAGACUUGAGUUCGGCAGGGAGACUGGAAUUCCUGGUGUAGCGGUGAAAAUGCGCAGAUAUCAGGAGGAACACCGGUGGCGAAGGCGGGUCUCUGGCCGAUACUGACGCUGAGGAGCGAAAGCGUGGGGAGCGAACAGG